UGCAAAUACUGUGAAAGGAAAGGUGGGGCGGACAGCUCAGCAAGACGCGCUUUUGCAUGGUUUGACAGGAAGUAAUGGAGGAGAAGGAGUGAGAAACAAAAUUGCAGGAUUUAAUAGAGCGUAGCUAUGUUCUUUGUGUAGGCGUGCACUUUUUCUUUCAAUGUUCUUUUACUUUUUUCAACCAAAAAUAUUUCAUCAUUUUAGGUUUUGUGACAACGAAAGCCACUAAACGUUAGUUUCGAUUUCUGCAUAUAGAAACUAAGGUGCCAUUUGUACUACACGGAUGGGUUUGUGUUCAAAUUUACAGCCAUGUCAUUUUUUUAUGUUUGUGUGUUUCUCUAUCUAUACUUACAGUGCUUAUAUUUUGUCUGAACUUAUUAGACAAUAUGAGUCUGAAGGAAGAGCCUGAAAGGUGCAGUUUUAAAAGUCUUGUUUACCUAUUCUAUUGUUUUGAGGUAUCACCUACCUGAGUUCUGUAACAUUUGAAGCAAAUUAUGUAUUAGACCUACGUUUAGUUGAAAAUGGUUUCGUUAAUAUAUGAAAUGGUAAUUCUUGUAAAUUCUUUAAACACAACUCAUGAUGAAUCCAUAUUUAUUUGCAGCGAAUCCAAAAGAAAGAGAUCAGAAUCACCCGAGUUCACAUCCACAAUACAUGAACACACAGACCUCAGCAAAGAAAGUGAUCAUGAACACAAAAAUAAAAGAACAAAGUCAGAGAGAGCGCAUUCUCCUGCCCCCAGCUAUAGGUCAGAUUUUUCAAUGGAUCUACCAACUAACUUCAAAAGCGGAGAAACAUUUGGUUUGGAUUUAAGUGAAUCCAAAAAAAGAACAUGUGAACUCCCAACAAUGAAACAAGACCAGGUGGUAAUAAUCCACUUAAGCGAAGAACCAAGUGAUGAACACAAAAAUAUAAGAGUAAAGUCAGAAAGAGCAGCUUCUCCUGCACCCAGCUAUAUGUCUUUAAGAACAGAUUUGUCAAUUGAUCCACCAACCAACUUCAAAGAUUUUCUUUUGGAUACAAGUAUUAAAAAAGAAAGAGAAACAAUAACCGUUUCAACAAACAACCAAAUGGACAACACAUUCAUGACAAGGUAACAAAAUAUGUCAUAUUUUAAUCUUAAACAUUGGCAGAAGUCAUUAAGAUAGCAUUCUCUUUUCUUUUCUGUUUGAAACUUUCCAGAUCAGAGAGAGCCCCUUCUCCUACGCUGUCUCUAUGGUCAGAUCGGUCAGUUGAACCAUCAGCUAACUGGAAAACUGAAGAACCUUUCCUUUCCACUUCAAGGU
rnacentral:lncRNA from 1 species